rnacentral:rRNA from 1 species
AACGAACGCUGGCGGCAUGCCUAACACAUGCAAGUCGAACGAGACCUUCGGGUCUAGUGGCGCACGGGUGCGUAACGCGGGGUAACUUGCCCUUAGGUUCGGAAUAACUCCCCGAAAGGGGUGCUAAUACCGGAUAAUGUCUUCGGACCAAAGAUUUAUCGCCUGUGGAUGGGCCCGCGUUGCUUGGCUAGUUGGUAGGGGAAAAGCCUACCAAGGCGACGAUCCAUAGCUGGUCUGAUAGGAUGCUCAGUCACACUGGGACUGCGACACGGCCCAGAAUCCUACGGGAGGCAGCAGUGGGGAAUAUUAGGCGAUGGACGAAAGCCUGAUACCGCCAUGCCGCGUGAGUGAUGAAGCCCUUAGGGUUGUAAAGCUCUUUUACCCGGGAUGAUAAUGACAGUACCGGGAGAAUAAGCACCGGCUAACUCCGUG